rnacentral:rRNA from 1 species
GACGUAGGAUGCAAGCGUUGUCCGGAUUUAUUGGGCGUAAAGAGUUCGUAGGUGGUUCGUUAAGUCUGAUGUUAAAGACCGGGGCUCAACUUCGGGACUGCAUUGGAUACUGGCGGACUUGAGUGUGGUAGAGGCAAUCGGAAUUCCAGGUGUAGCGGUGAAAUGCGUAGAUAUCUGGAAGAACACCGGUGGCGAAGGCGGAUUCCUGGACCAGUUCUGACACUGAGGAGCGAAAGCCAGGGGAGCAAACAGG